rnacentral:rRNA from 1 species
AUUGAACGCUGGCGGCAUGCCUUACACAUGCAAGUCGAACGGCAGCGCGGGAGCAAUCCUGGCGGCGAGUGGCGAACGGGUGAGUAAUACAUCGGAACGUGCCCAAUCGUGGGGGAUAACGCAGCGAAAGCUGUGCUAAUACCGCAUACGAUCUACGGAUGAAAGCAGGGGAUCGCAAGACCUUGCGCGAAUGGAGCGGCCGAUGGCAGAUUAGGUAGUUGGGGGGGUAAAGGCUCACCAAGCCUUCGAUCUGUAGCUGGUCUGAGAGGACGACCAGCCACACUGGGACUGAGACACGGCCCAGACUCCUACGGGAGGCAGCAGUGGGGAAUUUUGGACAAUGGGCGAAAGCCUGAUCCAGCCAUGCCGCGUGCAGGAUGAAGGCCUUCGGGUUGUAAACUGCUUUUGUACGGAACGAAACGGUCUUUUCUAAUAAAGAAGGCUAAUGACGGUACCGUAAGAAUAAGCACCGGCUAACUACGUG